rnacentral:tRNA from 1 species
GCCCGGGUGGCGGAACGGCAGACGCGGCGGCCUUAGGAGCCGUUGGGGGCAACCCCGUGCGAGUUCGACUCUCGCCCCGGGCA